GACGAACGCUGGCGGCGUGCUUAACACAUGCAAGUCGAACGGAAAGGCCCUGCUUUUGUGGGGUGCUCGAGUGGCGAACGGGUGAGUAACACGUGAGUAACCUGCCCUUGACUUUGGGAUAACUUCAGGAAACUGGGGCUAAUACCGGAUAGUAGCUCCUGCUGCAUGGUGGGGGUUGGAAAGUUUCGGCGGUUGGGGAUGGACUCGCGGCUUAUCAGCUUGUUGGUGGGGUAGUGGCUUACCAAGGCUUUGACGGGUAGCCGGCCUGAGAGGGUGACCGGCCACAUUGGGACUGAGAUACGGCCCAGACUCCUACGGGAGGCAGCAGUGGGGAAUAUUGCACAAUGGGCGGAAGCCUGAUGCAGCAACGACGCGUGCGGGAUGACGGCCUUCGGGUUGUAAACCGCUUUCGCCUGUGACGAAGCGUGAGUGACGGUAAUGGGUAAAGAAGCACCGGCUAACUACGUG
rnacentral:rRNA from 1 species